UCGUUAUAAGAAAAUUCGAGCCCUAAAUCAAGAUUCUACUUCCAACAGUCACUGGAAUAUAACUUUCUCUCUCAAAUGCAACAAAUUUAAUUAAAAUCGACCCACGGGUUAUCUCA
rnacentral:lncRNA from 1 species